CCGUGUAAGGGAUAGCAGUGGUAUCCUUUUUGGUUGAAUCCUUCGAUAAAAUCAGUAUAUAACUUAGGAUGAUAACCAAAAAGAUAUAACGAAUAGCCCGACCCUGA
rnacentral:sRNA from 1 species